UACGUAGGGGGCUAGCGUUAUCCGGAAUUACUGGGCGUAAAGCGCGCGUAGGCGGUCUUGUAAGUCAGUGGUGAAAUACGGCAGCUCAACUGUCGAGGUGCCAUUGAUACUGUAGGACUUGAGUACAGACGAGGUAGGCGGAAUUGACGGUGUAGCGGUGAAAUGCUUAGAUAUCGUCAAGAACACCGAUAGCGAAGGCAGCUUACUAGGCUGUAACUGACGCUGAGGCACGAAAGUGUGGGGAUCAAACAGG
rnacentral:rRNA from 1 species